UUCGAGUCAUUUACUCCCCAAUCGAGUUUCACUAGUCCGAACGCUGGCCGGUGACUAUGGCACCGCGCGCCAGAAUUCCCUCUCAGAUCGCCUAGCUUUUCCAUAUGGAUUUGCUUUGGCUCUCUUUUAUGUCGUUUCUUGCGGUUUUCAAAUUUCAGUCAGCGAUCUACUGUCUUGGGCUUCGGACGCGUAUCGUCGUUUUUGUCGUUGAAUACUAUCUGCAUACUAUAAAUAUCGUAACUGCCUAUAUAAUUUAUCGUUCGUUACAAAAAAAAAACCCAAAAAGCGUCUCGUCUUAUCUUUGUUGUCAAAAGUGUCGUCAUCAGUUUUUAUUGGUAUUUAGCUGUUCGUGCUUUUAGCUCUCCUCCUUAACACAACAGAGUUUAUUUAGUGCGGUUUGGUGUAAUUUGUGCUGAUUUGGAAGCUGGAAGCGAGUGUCUGCACCGUGGUGUGGUGUGGUGCUGUGUGCCUUAGCGUGAUUCGCGUAAUUAUUGUGCAACAUUCAAUUGGCGGCGUUGCGGCAACUAAACACCUGAUACGCUUGAAAUUCGCGGCGUAACGUGUUUUCUUAGAGCGCCUUGUUGUGUUGGUUUUUUGUCGGCUAUUUAAGUGCGUCAAGAAGUUGCCUUAAUUGGCUACGCAGCGGAUGAAAUAUACUAGAUAUCUUUUAGGGAACAGGCACAAAAAACAUACUGCAAUGCGACCGGCCAGAUUCUUUAAAUUCCUGAAUUAUCCUUUUCUAAUCGUAUGCCCUAUUUUAGUGAAAUGUAGUAAUUACCAAAAAGAAAAAUGAAUUUAAAGAAUAUGAGCCUGUAUAACAGUUAAGUGGCAUGUA